GUAGGAAGAAACAGGAUCAAGAGAGGAGGGCAGGCAGGAAGAUCUCAGGAGAAGGGAGAAGACAAAUGGAGAAGCAAAAAGAUGGGGCAUAGGCAGAGAAAAGCAGCUGAGGAGAAGGGUAUUGGUUGUGGGGCCCAGCACGUGAGCUCGGGAAAGUCAGUACAUAUGUGAGCACAGUGCCUUGCACGUCUAAGUCCAUACCAACUAGGUUCAGAGCCUUGUCCCAAAUUUAAUAACAUACAAACAUAAGUAGUUCCUAUGCACACUCCAGUAUCUCCUCACUGAAAGCAUCAUGUCUGUUCUCUUCAUGACACCUACCACAAUUUUAACUAUGUAUAUGUUAUUAACUUGAUAAUUGUCUCCAACAUAUUCUCUCUCUUCUCUCUCCUCUCUCUCUCUCUCUCCCAACACUAAGCUGCAUGAGAACACAGUUUACAUCUUAUGCCCCUAAUAAUUUUCAGCUCUGCCAUUUUCUAGCCGUGUUACCUUAGGCAGGUUAUUUAACCUCUCUGAUCCAAUAGUCCAAAGAGACUUUGUGAGGAUGAAAUAAGAAAUGCAUAUAAAAUACAGGAUAGACCAGCCUGAGAAACACAGUGAGACCCCAUCUCUAUAAAAAAUAAAAAAAAAUAGUUGGGUAUGGAGGCAUGCACCUAUAGUCCCAGCUACUUGGGAAACUGAGGCAGGAGGAUCACUUGACCCCAGGAGUUUGAGGUUACAGUGAGCUAUGAUCACAUCACUGCACUCCAGUCUGGGCAACAGAGCAAGACCCUGUCUCUAAAAUAAAACAAAAUACAGCAUAGCUCUCAUUAAAAUUAUUCCAUUUCCCUGAAGAAAUACUGCACAGGAACAAAAGGUCCCAGGUCUACAUUCCACAAAAGCUCUUCCUCCUUAUGCUAGAUAAGGUUUAUUCCUGUGGCUCAUGGUUAGAUUCUCCAUUCAAGGAUCCGGACAGAAAAAUCCUAUUUCUGUGACUGCGUCCUAUUUUAUUGGCAUUUCAUCCCUCCAGGCAGUUUCAAUCCUCUCCCCUUUCCUCUUCUCCUCCUCCUGCCUGAUGCUAUGAUGCCACAAUCCAGUCUCUGUGACUCGGAGGAAAUGUUUCCAUGGUGAUGAGCAGUGAUGUCAUAAAGGGGGGAUUGUUACAGGGUUGAAUAAAAUCUGGCACUAGAUGCACCCUGCCUCCUUAUAUAAGAGGGGGCGGGAGACAAGCCCUAUCAGCACAUCCCAGAAAAUGGGAAACCGAAUCACCCAGGGGAUGGCAAGGAAUGACCAGAGGGAAAGUUCCAGUUCUGUCCAACAUGCACUACCAGCCCCAUUUUGGAAAAGAACAGAUUUAAUAGACCUCACCAAGACAAGAAUUGUUUUUCGUCAAAGGAAAUCAAAGGAACAAACAAGAGGCAGUGACCACCAGAGACUUCACCUUUUGGUGUAGGAAAACCCAAGCAGACAGUGUCUACAUCCAUCAAAGCCCAAUGUAUUAAAUAUUUAUUGAAUAAGAACCCACGGACUCUUCCUUACCAGAGCCUUAGAUUGCCAUGUGCGUCUGAUUGCUCCAAAGACAAGACUAUUGUGAUUUUGGCCCCAUAUGCAUUUUAGAGUAACAAGUCUUACCAGAAAAAUAAUAGCCAGCCCCAGCUUAAUUCCUAGAGAAACUCAAACCACCUUGUUAAGAACAAUCCCAGAGGAGAGUUUAUACUAAGGAGCACUACACAAUGCUGUUUGCCAUCUCUGGGCCCUCUAAAAGCAAGCCCAACCUUGGAAAAGGAAUGUCUGCCACCAGGGAAACGUGGCUGCACUGCUGGAGGAAGAACUUGAUCAUGACGGGCAAUGCUUGGAAGUAAAGAAGCAUCUGCUGCCUUGGAAAGGCUUGGUCAGGGCAAUCAUUGUCACAGGCCAUGUUUUUUCUCUGACUAUCUCUUGGAAUUUCAGAGUGACUAAGUGAUUACUACAAUUGUGAGUGCCGUGGAAUAGACCCUGUUCCAUAAAAGGUCUCCCUUGGUCCUACAGGAGGCUCUGGGAGCCCGUGCUUUAGCGAAUGUAUAGUCCCUCAUUCUUUCUCUGGGCAGCUGGUUUUCCUGAAGGUUCUGCUCCCAGCAAGCACAGUCCACAGCAGUAGCUAAAUGUGUGCAGUGCAUGUGUACUUUUAUGGUCUUCAUCAUUAUUUAUGAACUAACUUCAAAGGGAACAAGAGGCGGUGUCUUCCAGAAGUCGGUGUGGGCAGCACCAAACCAUCCACCAUGCAUCAGAGAAAAGCCAGACAGCUGGAAGGCUCUAUUCCCAGGCCACUCUCCAGUCCUCAAACAUGUCACCAUCUCUCAUGCCUCCUUACUGGGCCCAUGCUGUCUCCUUGACCAGGAAUGUCCUCCACCCCGAUCCCAUCCCCAUAGCCCCCUUCACUGUAAGAUCUGGGCCCAGCAAAUUGCCCAGCUCCUCUUCUCUGAAUGCUUCUUUAAUGUCUCUGAGAAGGAGUUCCUUCCUCCUUUACUGUCCAUCUCUUCCACCACAUGAGGGGUUUGGGGGAGGUCUUUGAAGACAAGGGACCCUUCCUCAUUCAUAUUUGAAUACUGAGCCCAAGCACACGCCCCUAGCAUCUGCAAUACACACAUGUCAAGGUGAAUGGGGAGAUAGAUGCCAAGAUCCUUGAGCGCUGCAAAUCUUCACUGCCAACUUCAACUACUCCAAAAUAAAGUCAAAAUUUUAAAAGUAAGCUUUGAUGACUCAAGUGACUAAUUUUAUGGACAAGGGCCCCUUAAUGAAAUCUAAGAGGAGGAAUGUGGUGACAUAAGCAGGACAUGGCUGUGAGACACUGAGCAAACAGUUUAUCCUCCCUGAGCUUCGAUUUUCUCAUCUGUAAAAACGAAGAAUGGUGGCAAUUUGAGCUCAAAGUCCAUCUCUAACAUUCUAACUCAGUGAAGCAGCCUGUGGCAUUUUCACAUCCUUAAACGGAAAUGUGUUACACGUCAAGGAUGAUUCCUCAAGGCAUUUUGCUGCCCUCCUGGGUUGAUAUUUUUCCUUUCAUUUUCACCUUAAGCCCCGCUCCUGUUUAUUGCUCACAAUGCACUCCAGACUGGGGAUGGCUGACAAUUCCCCCAUGAAGGACACACUGUAAAGACAGAUGGAACUGCUGCCUAGUCAAGCUGCACUUAAUGCAACGUCACCCCAAGACAGCCUGCACCUUCUUCCCCAAUGCAUCUGAGCCUACCCUUAGCCAGCCCUCACCCUCGCCUCCCCCAGCAACCAGCAAAGCUCUUCCCAAGUCAUGCCUGAGCCCAGAUAAUUUCAUUAUUUUACAGAGGCAUCUCUGUGUGCCCAUAUAUCCUGUCAUUCUCCUUGUCCAUGACAAAUGCUUGGCAUAAAAGUUACCUUUGGAAAUGUGUUAAGGCAGGCAGCAUGCACAUUCAGAGAGGCCGGGGUGGGGAAGGCGAGAAGGAUGGG
rnacentral:lncRNA from 1 species